rnacentral:piRNA from 1 species
UAACUGUGCCAAGGGUUGAUAAGUGC